CCUACGGGAGGCAGCAGUAGGGAAUAUUGCUCAAUGGGGGAAACCCUGAAGCAGCAACGCCGCGUGGAGGAUGAAGGUUUUCGGAUUGUAAACUCCUUUUGUUAGAGAAGAUAAUGACGGUAUCUAAAGAAGAAUCACCGGCUAACUCCGUGCCAGCAGCCGCGGUAAUACGGAGGGUGCAAGCGUUACUCGGAAUCACUGGGCGGAAGGAGCGCGUAGGCGGGAUAGCAAGUCAGAUGUGAAAUCCUAUGGCUUAACCAUAGAACUGCAUUUGAAACUGUUAUUCUAGAGUAUGGGAGAGGUAGGUGGAAUUCUUGGUGUAGGGGUAAAAUCCGUAGGGAUCAAGAGGAAUACUCAUUGCGAAGGCGACCUGCUAGACCAUAACUGACGCUGAUGCGCGAAAGCGUGGGGAGCAAACAGGAUUAGAUACCCCUGUAGUC
rnacentral:rRNA from 1 species